AGAGCAUGAUCCACCUACUGUAUUUCUCACAAGGAUUCAGUGUUCAACAGACUCCAGCUGCUGACAACAGCACCAGAGACUAGGAUGGUUUCUGCUCUUGCAAAGUGUUCUUCGACAACAUCUUUACAAACUAAGUAACACAAGAUAAGGACUUUAUUCUGAUUCUGAGGAAAAAGAGAUUCACCAUUAUAGGUAGAGACGGGACAGAAGUAAUAUUCCCAUAGAAACCAGCAUGACACAGGAGCUGUGAAAAUCAAGAGGGAGGCUGGGGAGCCGGAAUCCGCAGCUAUGAAACAGUCAUUAAGAGCCAGAGCCGAGGAACAUUGCCAGCUGAGUGUGAGAUCCCUGUGAGAGCAACGGUGCAGUGGCUGGAUUCUCCUGCACGCAGUCAGCCUGUGCCACCUAGCGUUAGCAGUCUGCUGAUCUGCUACAGCCUGCGACCGCAAGAUCCUUUCACGGUGAACUUCCUCAGGAUCCCAGGAGAGGGCAGCAUCUCCUCCAUCAUCAGACCAAGGGGAAACCUCAACUGGUUAAACAUUGCAGGGACUCACAGAGGUGUUGAUGGUGCGCGAAAUGCAGAGCAGAGCUUGUGCAAAAAUGCCCCACAAUCCUUAACUUGGGCAAUAUGACUGCCUCUCCGCCUCUGGUCUCAUGUGAUCUCAUUCACUUUUCCGUAUCACUGAGGGGAUAUGCAUUUAAAGAGUAAUAAUUCCAAGGAUCAGAUUGCAACUGCACAUGAACAUUAAGGAUAAAUAAAUCCAGUAUCUGCUCCCACUGUGAGAUUUCACAGGUCACAUACCAAGAAUGAAGCAUCACAAUGAUGACACAAAAUAAAUGUAGAGUGCACUGAUGAUAAAUUGUUUCCUAAAAUCUUUGUGUUCUCCUUAUCUGAAAAAAAACUCAACUGCUUCAAUUCACAUUUUUGCUUUCUGUAAUGUAUAUGAAGUCUUGGUAUACAUGAAUCCUUUGGUAUAAGGCUGACAUAACACUGUCCUACGCAUGACAUAACAGCUGCCACAAGAUGGCAUAACUGAUGAUGUCAGUUUAUGUCAAAUGACAUAAACUGUCAUUACUUUUACUGGUAAAUGUUAUGGCAGAUGUUUCUGCCAUAACAUUUACUGAUAAAAGUCAUUUGACAUAAACUGACAUCAUUUGUUAUGCCAUCUUGUGACAGCUUAAACGUGUAUGAAUACUCAGUAUGUCAACAUUUUCUGAAAUGUUGUUAGGAAAAACAUUUUCAUUUAAUUUCUACAAUGGUAAAGCUUCAAUCUCCUCACAGUCCUCUAUGUUCUGUGUGUCCUGAUCUUUAAAUCAAAUGGAGAAAAUAUAAAUUUAAAAGGCAGCCCUCACAGAAACACACUAUUUAAAGAUGCCAUCAACUUCUCACUCUAUUCACAGUGGGCAAUGCACAAAUAUAGUACUUACAAGCUGUAAAUACUUGGAUAAAUACAGUCAAUAAAUAAAUAAAUAAAUAGUGAACUACAUGAAAUAACCAUUCUUAUUAAUAAACAAACAGUGAAUUUAAAUAUAUAAUGCUGAGAAAUAAUAGCACCAGGCCCAGUAUAGGCAAAGCCCAGAGCACAAAUUGUGUGUUCUCCUGGUGGACACGCUCCAUCUUGCUACCUCCAAGUCACAAAAUAAUACUUUUAUUCAAAUAAUACUGCGUCCUCAAAGAGCACGGCUGGGUCAGGGCCCUGUUAUCUGCUACGGACAGAGAGUGGAGGAAGUCUGCGUAUAUAAUGAAUCAUCAAACUACGCAUGGAGCAAACGGGCACACGUUUAUGAAUGCAGAGCACUGCCUUAUGGCCUUAUGUUUGCACUUAACAAGGCACCUGAGAUGUAUGUCAUUACGCUUUGAGAAAUCCAGCCUAACGAACAGUGACAUGAAGGCAGAAAAAUGGGUUGACUGAGAUUGCCACUUGUAUCUGUGUAGACUUCUGCACAUUCCAAGAGCAAAUAUAUGUUUACGCAUGUAAUUGUAAAGGGUUCAUCGAAGCCUUUGUAGCUUUUAUUCACGCUCGACAUGCCACUGGUCUGAUCAUCCAUGUCUCCUCUGAGGAGGUGUGCGGAGGGCAGAUAAUCAACUCCAUUUGGAAUUGGGAGCAGAUCCUCGAUGAUGGCGGCAACGAUAACUUAAUCCUUUCCGGUUCAAUCCCAGUCAUUAAAUGUUGUUUUAAUGUAAAACUAACAGACUAAUAUGUCACAGGAAAGAACAUUAGAUGUAGUGCACUGAAUAAAGUUAAUGAAUCCCCGAAGAGAUGUAAAGUCUCUGGUGUGUGUUCUGCUGAAGGAGAUUUGAUCUCAGCGGUGGGUUUCUAGCUCCUUAACAAACAUUUUGCUUUACAAGAGAUGUCUCUUUCCCUGGGAAAAUAAUCUGUUAGAGCAAAUGAAAAUGCAGAAAGAACUGCCUUAAGAACAACUUGUCCUUUGUAAAGUUAUCUUGCUCCAGGUG